rnacentral:rRNA from 1 species
CAUGCAAGUCGAGCGGUAAGGCCCUUCGGGGUACACGAGCGGCGAACGGGUGAGUAACACGUGGGUGAUCUGCCUCGUACUCUGGGAUAAGCCUGGGAAACUGGGUCUAAUACCGGAUAUGACCACGAAUCGCAUGGUUUGUGGUGGAAAGAUUUAUCGGUGCGAGAUGGGCCCGCGGCCUAUCAGCUUGUUGGUGGGGUAAUGGCCUACCAAGGCGACGACGGGUAGCCGGCCUGAGAGGGCGACCGGCCACACUGGGACUGAGACACGGCCCAGACUCCUACGGGAGGCAGCAGUGGGGAAUAUUGCACAAUGGGCGGAAGCCUGAUGCAGCGACGCCGCGUGAGGGAUGACGGCCUUCGGGUUGUAAACCUCUUUCGACAGGGACGAAGCGUAAGUGACGGUACCUGUAGAAGAAGCACCGGCCAACUACGUGCCAGCAGCCGCGGUAAUACGUAGGGUGCGAGCGUUGUCCGGAAUUACUGGGCGUAAAGAGCUUGUAGGCGGUUCGUCGCGUCGAUCGUGAAAACGUGCAGCUCAACUGCACGCUUGCGGUCGAUACGGGCGGACUAGAGUACUGCAGGGGAGACUGGAAUUCCUGGUGUAGCGGUGAAAUGCGCAGAUAUCAGGAGGAACACCGGUGGCGAAGGCGGGUCUCUGGGCAGUAACUGACGCUGAGAAGCGAAAGCGUGGGUAGCGAACAGGAUUAGAUACCCUGGUAGUCCACGCCGUAAACGGUGGGCGCUAGGUGUGGGUUUCC